UAACGCAGUAACGUAAAGCUACAGAAUAUGCAAAUCACUUGUUGACGUCACCGUACAAAUGACUAGCUUCACUUUCCGCUAAUGGCCAAACAUAUGGCCCCAAAACUAAGGCGUUUAUAUUCUGCGCUUAGGAAAAUUCAUGCAGUUUUAUAAUAGAUCGGUAGUCGGAACGCCCUAGUUCGCUUUAAAACAUCAAUUCAGUUUUUAUACCUUACUUCAUAAUUCUGAUAAAAAGAAUAGAAUAGAAUAGAAUAAAAAUAAACAAGGUACCAACUCCCAACGGAGCGGCGCACUGCGACGAUUGUUGAUCUUUUGUGCUGAAAUAUACCCUAACCGAACAGAAGACCUUCUACCUUUCGAAUGAAAGCCAGAAUAUCAGCCAUUGAGAACCUCGUUAUAUCA